UACGAAGGGGGCUAGCGUUGCUCGGAAUCACUGGGCGUAAAGGGUGCGUAGGCGGGUCUUUAAGUCAGGGGUGAAAUCCUGGAGCUCAACUCCAGAACUGCCUUUGAUACUGUAGAUCUUGAGUUCGGGAGAGGUGAGUGGAACUGCGAGUGUAGAGGUGAAAUUCGUAGAUAUUCGCAAGAACACCAGUGGCGAAGGCGGCUCACUGGCCCGGUACUGACGCUGAGGUGCGAAAGCGUGGGGAGCAAACAGG
rnacentral:rRNA from 1 species